GACGAACGCUGGCGGCGUGCCUAAUACAUGCAAGUAGAACGCUGAAGGAGGAGCUUGCUCUUCUGGAUGAGUUGCGAACGGGUGAGUAACGCGUAGGUAACCUGCCUGGUAGCGGGGGAUAACUAUUGGAAACGAUAGCUAAUACCGCAUAAGAGUAGAUGUUGCAUGACAUUUGCUUAAAAGGUGCAAUUGCAUCACUACCAGAUGGACCUGCGUUGUAUUAGCUAGUUGGUGGGGUAACGGCUCACCAAGGCGACGAUACAUAGCCGACCUGAGAGGGUGAUCGGCCACACUGGGACUGAGACACGGCCCAGACUCCUACGGGAGGCAGCAGUAGGGAAUCUUCGGCAAUGGACGGAAGUCUGACCGAGCAACGCCGCGUGAGUGAAGAAGGUUUUCGGAUCGUAAAGCUCUGUUGUAAGAGAAGAACGAGUGUGAGAGUGGAAAGUUCACACUGUGACGGUAGCUUACCAGAAAGAGACGGCUAACUACGUG
rnacentral:rRNA from 1 species